rnacentral:lncRNA from 1 species
GUAAAGACGGUCUCUCUUAUUUGCCUAAAUUGGUCUUGAAUUCCUGGGUUAAAGCGAUUCUCCCGCCUUGCCCUCUCAAAGUGCUGGGGGAUUUUAUUAAUAGGUAUGAGCCACCGCUCUAGGCUGAUGAUAUGAGUCUUAAAUUCCUUUUACUCUGUCAGUUUCUCCCUCUCCACUUUCUUUCCUUGCAAUUCAAUUUUUGGAGAAGCAAAGUUAUUUGUCUUGUAAAGUUUCGCACUUUUGAACUCUGCUCAUUGAAUUGCUAUGAAGUUAACACAUUCCUCUGUUCCUUUGUAUUUCCUGUAAACUGGAAGAUUUAGAGCAGCAGUUCUCAAACAUUUUUGCCUUGAGAUCCCUUUAAAGUCUCAAAAACUUGAGGACACAAAGAGCUUCUGUUUACAUGCAUUACAUCUAGUGAUUUACCAUAUUAGAAAUUAAAAUUGAGAAAUUUAAAAAAAUUAGUGCAUCAAAAAUAAACCUAUUUAUGUGCUUUUUUUUUUUUUUUGAGACUGAGUCUCACUCUGUCACCCAGGUUGGAGUGCAGUGGCAUGAUUUCGUCUCACUGCAGCCUCCGUGUCCCAGGUUCAAGGGAUUCUUCUGCCUCAGCUUCCCAAGGAGCUAACAGGCGUGCACCACCACGCCCAGCUAAUUUUUGUAUAUUUAGUAGAGACAGGGUUUUGCCAUUUUGGCCAGGCUGGUCUCAAACUCCUGACCUCAAGUACAUCUGCCCACCUUGGCCUCCCAAGUUCCAGACAAGCCUGGCCAGCAUGGCAAAACCUCGUCUCUAUGAAAAAUAAAAAAAUUAGCCGGGGGUGCUAGUGGGCGCCUGUAUUCCCAGCUACUUGGGAGGCUGAGGUUGGAGAAUCGCCUGAACCCAGGAGGUGGAGGCUGCAGUGAGCAGAGAUCUCACCACUGCACUCCAGCCUGGGUGACAGAGCGAGACUCUGUCUCAAAAACAAAAACAUGUAAAAACAACAACAACAACAAAAAGUCCUGCAAGUCUAUGGUGGUGAAUACUAUGUCUAGUUGUACAAUUUGAUUUAUGCUUUGAUUUAUGCC